CAAUAGCGUAUAUUAUUGAUGUUGCAGUUGAAACGUUCGUAGUCGAACUUUGCCUGCUAAAGUAUCAAGUUAUUGAUGAUGAGUUGGUACUCUCCGCGGAGAUUAUGCAAGAGAGAGCAUGUGCUUCAUAUGUUCUGCUGUUUGCAUUUUACUUUGAGUGAAUCGGCGUGUUCCACGCAGGCGAGUGCCUUGAACGAUUUACCAUAGCAUAAGCAAAGUAUGGAAAUGCUUCCUUGCUUGUUCGGAAGCUUUUUCAAUACAAAUAGGAACGGUUGAGGGCAUUCGUAUUCGACUGCUAGAGGUGAAAUUCUUUGAUUAGUCGAGGACGGACAAUUGCGAAAGCAUCUGCCAAGGACGUUUCCUUUGA
rnacentral:rRNA from 1 species